rnacentral:rRNA from 1 species
GACGAACGCUGGCGGCGUGCCUAAUACAUGCAAGUAGAACGCACAGACUAUACCGUAGCUUGCUACACCAUAGACUGUGAGUUGCGAACGGGUGAGUAACGCGUAGGUAACCUGCCUGGUAGCGGGGGAUAAAUAUUGGAAACGAUAGCUAAUAUCGCAUAAUCUUGAUUAUUGCAUGAUAAUUGAUUGAAUGAUGCUAUUGCAUCACUACCAGCUGGACCUGUUUUGUAUUAGGUAGUAGGUCAGGUAACGGCUUACCUAGGCGACGACACAUAGCCGACCUGGGAGGGGGAUCGGCCACACUUGGACCGGAGCACGGCCCAGGCCCCUACGGGAGGCAGCAGGAAGGGAACUUUCGGAAUUGGGGGAAGGCCUGCCGGGCAACGCCCGGUUGGGGGAGGAGGGUUUCGGAUUGGAAAGCUCUGGUUUAAGGGAAGGAAGAGAUGUGUAAUGGAAAGUGCACGCUUUGACGGUACCUUACCAGAAAGCGACGGCUAACUACGUG